GGGGUGACGUUAUCCGGACUUUUGCGGCGUAAGGGCUCGCAGGCGGUUUCUUAAGUCUGAUGUGAAAGCCCCCGGCUCAACCGGGGAGGGUCAUUGGAAACUGGGGAACUUGAGUGCAGAAGAGGAGAGUGGAAUUCCACGUGUAGCGGUGAAAUGCGUAGAGAUGUGGAGGAACACCAGUGGCGAAGGCGACUCUCUGGUCUGUAACUGACGCUGAGGAGCGAAAGCGUGGGGAGCGAACAGGAUUAGAUACCCUGGUAGUCCACGCCGUAAACGAUGAGUGCUAAGUGUUAGGGGGUUUCCGCCCCUUAGUGCUGCAGCUAACGCAUUAAGCACUCCGCCUGGGGAGUACGGUCGCAAGACUGAAACUCAAAGGAAUUGACGGGGGCCCGCACAAGCGGUGGAGCAUGUGGUUUAAUUCGAAGCAACGCGAAGAACCUUACCAGGUCUUGACAUCCUCUGACAAUCCUAGAGAUAGGACGUCCCCUUCGGGGGCAGAGUGACAGGUGGUGCAUGGUUGUCGUCAGCUCGUGUCGUGAGAUGUUGGGUUAAGUCCCGCAACGAGCGCAACCCUUGAUCUUAGUUGCCAGCAUUCAGUUGGGCACUCUAAGGUGACUGCCGGUGACAAACCGGAGGAAGGUGGGGAUGACGUCAAAUCAUCAUGCCCCUUAUGACCUGGGCUACACACGUGCUACAAUGGGCAGAACAAAGGGCAGCGAAACCGCGAGGUUAAGCCAAUCCCACAAAUCUGUUCUCAGUUCGGAUCGCAGUCUGCAACUCGACUGCGUGAAGCUGGAAUCGCUAGUAAUCGCGGAUCAGCAUGCCCGGUGGAAUACCGUUCCCCGGGCCUUGUACACACCGCCCGUCACACCACGAGAGUUUGUAACACCCGAAGUCGGUGAGGUAACCUUUUAGGAGCCAGCCGCCGAAGGUGGGACAGAUGAUUGGGUGAUCACAGGGGGACACCCCCACACACAAAAAAAAAAUGG
rnacentral:rRNA from 1 species